GUUAUUUAAUAUAAAGUCUGACCUGCCCACUGAAAUUAUUUUGAAGGGCCGCAGUAUUUUGACUGUGCAAAGGUAGCAUAAUCAUUAGUCUUUUAAUUGAAGGCUGGUAUGAAUGGUUGGAUGAGAUACAAGCUGUGUCAUAAAAAUUAAUAUUUGAAUUUACCUUUUUAGUCAAAAGGCUAAAAUAAAAUUAAAAGACGAGAAGACCCUAUAGAGCUUUAUAUAAUUUGUAUUUAAAUUAUUAAGAUUUUUUAAAUUUAAUUAUUUUAUUAUAUUUUGUUGGGGUGACAAUAAAAUUUAUAAAACUUUUAUUAUUAAUAAACAUUUAUUUAUGGUUAUAUGAUCCAGUUUUAUUGAUUAUAAAUUUAAGUUACCUUAGGGAUAACAGCGUAAUUUUUUUUGAGAGUUCUUAUCGACAAAAAAGAUUGCGACCUCGAUGUUGGAUUAAGAGUAAUUUUGGGUGUAGAAGUUCAAAGUUUAAGUCUGUUCGACUUUUAAAUUCUUACAUGAUC
rnacentral:rRNA from 2 species